UACGAAGGGGGCUAGCGUUGCUCGGAAUCACUGGGCGUAAAGGGUGCGUAGGCGGCGCGGUAAGUCACUUGUGAAAUCUCUGAGCUUAACUCAGAACGGCCAAGUGAUACUGCAGUGCUAGAGUGUGGAAGGGGCAAUCGGAAUUCUUGGUGUAGCGGUGAAAUGCGUAGAUAUCAAGAGGAACACCUGAGGUGAAGACGGGUUGCUGGGCCAACACUGACGCUGAGGCGCGAAAGCCAGGGGAGCAAACGGG
rnacentral:rRNA from 1 species